GACGAACGCUGGCGGCGCGCCUAACACAUGCAAGUCGAACGAGCGAGCGAGAGCUUGCUUUCUUGAGCGAGUGGCGAACGGGUGAGUAACGCGUGAGGAACCUGCCUCAAAGAGGGGGACAACAGUUGGAAACGACUGCUAAUACCGCAUAAGCCCACGGUGCCGCAUGGCACAGAGGGAAAAGGAGCAAUCCGCUUUGAGAUGGCCUCGCGUCCGAUUAGCUAGUUGGUGAGGUAACGGCCCACCAAGGCGACGAUCGGUAGCCGGACUGAGAGGUUGAACGGCCACAUUGGGACUGAGACACGGCCCAGACUCCUACGGGAGGCAGCAGUGGGGAAUAUUGCACAAUGGGGGAAACCCUGAUGCAGCGACGCCGCGUGGAGGAAGAAGGUCUUCGGAUUGUAAACUCCUGUUGUUGGGGAAGAUAAUGACGGUACCCAACAAGGAAGUGACGGCUAACUACGUG
rnacentral:rRNA from 1 species